AUGAACGCUGGCGGCGUGCCUAAUACAUGCAAGUCGAGCGAACAGACGAGGAGCUUGCUCCUCUGACGUUAGCGGCGGACGGGUGAGUAACACGUGGAUAACCUACCUAUAAGACUGGGAUAACUUCGGGAAACCGGAGCUAAUACCGGAUAAUAUAUUGAACCGCAUGGUUCAAUAGUGAAAGACGGUUUUGCUGUCACUUAUAGAUGGAUCCGCGCCGCAUUAGCUAGUUGGUAAGGUAACGGCUUACCAAGGCAACGAUGCGUAGCCGAGCUGAGAGGGUGAUCGGCCACACUGGAACUGAGACACGGUCCAGACUCCUACGGGAGGCAGCAGUAGGGAAUCUUCCGCAAUGGGCGAAAGCCUGACGGAGCAACGCCGCGUGAGUGAUGAAGGUCUUCGGAUCGUAAAACUCUGUUAUUAGGGAAGAACAAAUGUGUAAGUAACUAUGCACGUCUUGACGGUACCUAAUCAGAAAGCCACGGCUAACUACGUG
rnacentral:rRNA from 1 species